AUGCAUUUUGAGAUGACGUUGACACAAAAGAGUGAAGCCAGCCCCAGCAUCUUCCCACUGAGCCUUGGGAACGACGACCCAGCCGGGCAGGUGGUCAUCGGCUGCCUGGUCCAGGGCUUCUUCCCAUCGGCACCCCUGAGCGUGACCUGGACCCAGAGUGGCGACAACGUGUCCGUCAGGAACUUCCCCGCCGUGCUGGCCGGGAGCCUGUACACCAUGAGCAGCCAGCUGACCUUGCCGGCCAGCCUGUGCCCAAAAGACAAGUCCGUGACCUGCCAAGUGCAGCACCUCUCCAAAGCCAGCAAGACCGUGGACGUGCCCUGCAAAUGUUGUCCUGAGUGUCUCCCAUCAAACUGCGAGCCCAGCCUGUCCCUGCAGCCUCCAGCCCUCGAGGAUCUGCUCCUGAGCUCCAACGCCAGCCUCACGUGCACACUGAGUGGUCUGAAAAGCGCCGAGGGCGCCAGCUUCACCUGGAGCCCGACAGGCGGGAAGACCGCCGUCCAGGGGUCGCCCAAGCGCGACUCCUGCGGCUGCUACAGCGUGUCCAGCGUCCUGCCGGGCUGUGCUGACCCCUGGAACAGCGGACAGACCUUCUCCUGCUCUGCCACCUACCCCGACUCCGAGGGCUCACUGACCACCACCAUCAAGAAAGACACAGUGAACACGUUCCGGCCUCAGGUCCACCUGCUGCCGCCGCCGUCGGAGGAGCUGGCCCUCAACGAGCUGGUGACGCUGACGUGCCUGGUGCGGGGGUUCAGCCCCAGGGACGUGCUGGUGCGCUGGUUGCAGGGCAAUCAAGAGCUGCCCCGCGAGAAGUAUCUGACCUGGGGACCCCUGCCCGAGCCCGGCCAGAGUGUCGCCACCUUCGCCGUGACCAGCGUGCUACGCGUGGACGCCGAGGUCUGGAAGCAGGGGGACACCUUCUCCUGCAUGGUGGGCCACGAGGCCCUGCCCCUGGCCUUCACCCAGAAGACCAUCGACCGCCUGGCGGGUAAACCCACCCACGUGAACGUGUCCGUGGUCAUGUCAGAGGUGGAUGGGGUCUGCUACUGA